rnacentral:tRNA from 1 species
GGGGCUGAGGCUCAGUGGUAGAGCACUCGCCUAGCAAAUGUGAGGCACUGAGUUGGAUCCUCAGCACCACA